rnacentral:rRNA from 1 species
AACGAACGCUGGCGGCAUGCCUAACACAUGCAAGUCGAACGAGACCUUCGGGUCUAGUGGCGCACGGGUGCGUAACGCGUGGGAACCUGCCCUUAGGUUCGGAAUAACUCCCCGAAAGGGGUGCUAAUACCGGAUAAUGUCUUCGGACCAAAGAUUUAUCGCCUUUGGAUGGGCCCGCGUUGGAUUAGCUAGUUGGUAGGGUAAAAGCCUACCAAGGCGACGAUCCAUAGCUGGUCUGAGAGGAUGAUCAGCCACACUGGGACUGAGACACGGCCCAGACUCCUACGGGAGGGAGCAGUGGGGAAUAUUGGACAAUGAGCGAAAGCCUGAUACAGCAAUGCCGCGUGAGUGAUGAAGGCGUUAGGAUUGUAAAGCUCUUUUACCCGGGAUGAUAAUGACGGUACCGGGAGAAUAAGCACCGGCUAACUACGUG